rnacentral:rRNA from 1 species
AGCUAACGUUGGCGGCGUGCCUAACACAUGCAAGUCGAACGCGCUGUAGCAAUACAGUGAGUGGCAGACGGGUGAGUAACACGUGGGUAACCUGCCUGUAAGACUGGGAUAACUCCGGGAAACCGGGGCUAAUACCGGAUGCUUGAUUGAACCGCAUGGUUCAAUUAUAAAAGGUGGCUUUUAGCUACCACUUACAGAUGGACCCGCGGCGCAUUAGCUAGUUGGUGAGGUAACGGCUCACCAAGGCGACGAUGCGUAGCCGACCUGAGAGGGUGAUCGGCCACACUGGGACUGAGACACGGCCCAGACACCUACGGGUGGCUG